UCGCGAAAACUUCACACUGGGGGCAACCCCGAUGAGGGAAUUCCUAGUGCUAGCGCAUUUGCGUUAGCUUUUCUUUAGUGUAGAUAGCUAGAGGAAUAAGGGCUGGGUAAGACGGGUGCUCAGCCGCCGCGGUAAUACCCGCAGCYCKAAGUGGUGGUCGAUAUUAUUGAGUCUAAAACGUUCGUAG
rnacentral:rRNA from 1 species